GUCGGAGACCUCUGCCGCAAACAUGCUCCGCCAGAUCAUCGGUCAGGCCAAGAAGCAUCCGAGCGUAAUUGAUCCCCCUCUUUGUAUUUAUUGGAACUGGAGCUACUGGAGCAACACUGUAUCUCUUGCGUCUGGCAUUGUUCAAUCCAGAUGUUUGUUGGGACAGAAAUAACCCAGAGCCCUGGAACAAACUGGGUCCCAAUGAUCAAUACAAGUUCUACUCAGUGAAUGUGGAUUACAGCAAGCUGAAGAAGGAACGUCCAGAUUUCUAAAUGAAAUGUUUCACUAUAACGCUGCUUUAGAAUGAAGGUCUUCCAGAAGCCACAUCCGCACAAUUUUCCACUUAACCAGGAAAUAUUUCUCCUCUAAAUGCAUGAAAUCAUGUUGGAGAUC
rnacentral:lncRNA from 1 species